GUUGUGGCUUAGUGGUAGAGUGCUUGCUUAGCAUGCAUGAGGCACUGGGUUCGAUCCCUGGCACGACA
rnacentral:tRNA from 1 species